CCCCUCCCCCUCCCUGCGUCCCGUGCACUUGCAGGAGGAAGAAGACGCACAUCACCAUAAUUGAAGAGGAAAUCAUUCCAACAGGUGCUAGGUUUGGCGGCGGCGGAAGGCCCAACUGCUGCCCUUGCAAUUUCGGCUGAUUCGGAUGUUGCUGAUGGGCCGAUGACGAUCUGAAUGUCUAGACGGAAAAUCACAAUAUUGUAAA